UUUUUUUUUUUCUUUCUGAAGGUUCCAUGCUCCGGAGGAAUUUGAUGAGGGAAAGAGAAGUUGCAGGAAACGUCUUGAUGGACACAACCGGCGGCGAAGGAAGCCUCAACCAGAACCCUUGUCACGCCCGGGAAGUUUUCUGUCCAGUUACCAAGGUUAGCUGCAACCUUUGUUUGUGGGGAAGUACUUUAUCAAAAUUAAAGCUGUGAAAGCAGGCAUUUUAUUUGAACAUCCACUUGGUUGAGUGCUUCAUCAACUAUGUGUGGUGGUCCUGCCACAGUUGAUGAUCUAGUGGCCAUCUAGCAGAUCCUUCUCUUCAAAUCAUUUUUUUUAAGAUUCUUCGGAACUAUUAAUCUUCCUGUCAGGUGCUGCUUAAUUUCUCUGCUGUCACUAAACUGAUCAUGAAUCACAACCUUGUAUGAGUGUUUAAAUUGAACUUUCGCACGAACGGAUGCUGAGAGGGUAAGCUGAGAAAAAACCAAUGUGGAUUUAUUGCACUAAAAUUUGAUUUUCCACUUGUUGCAGGUACACAAUUGUUACCAUUCUCUAGUUCACUUGUAUACCCCUCCACCAAUGUCAUAAACCCUACCUGGGCCACCGGCAUUGUCAAAACUGAGCCAGAUCCCGGAGUUCAUAACCUCCAACUGCCAUUGAUCGAUAAGCAAAACAUGUUCCUUGGGUCCUCAGUCAGCACUAGCAGCAGCGGUUACAAGGGAGGAAAGCAGUUCUCACUCUUCCAGAGCAGCAACAGCUCUCCACUCCACCACAACCACCAAACAUCUCAUCAUCAUGGCACUUCUGUCUGCCAACCCCUUCUCAACACCAUUUCAUUCUCCGAAACUGCUAGUGGUGGUGGUGGGACAACAAAGAGCAAGAUGUUUUGUGACCGGUUAACAACUCAAAUCCAUGAUUCGGACUGUGCUCUCUCUCUUCUGUCAUCACCGCAGACGCAGCAGACAUCUGAAAUAGGUUUGAGACACACAGUGCAGCAGCCUAAUUCAAUCUCUCUGAUGCAACAACGACUAGGCCCCAACGGUCUACGCAGAAACAACAGUUCCAUGGAGCCCAUGGAUUCAGUUAUGGUCUCCAAUGGAAGUGGUGAUGCAAAUGUCCAUUGCCCUGGAAUGUUUCGGUUAAUCUCUGAUGGUUCUCAGGGCAAUGGGAAUCAACACCAUCAAUCCCCUCAAACACUUCCUUUUCAUUGGCAGUAGCAAAAAUUAUUUGCAGGAUUUCCAGAUCAGUUGUUGCAGAGUGGAAGUUAGAACCUCUUUGUAUGAUUUUAGAUGCCUUUUCUUUUGUUCGUGUAAACAUAAGUAUACCAUUUAUUUAUACACUCUUCAACUAGGAUUAAUUAUAUGGGCUCCUUAUUAAUCGUGAUGGACAAAAAUGCUUUUGCAAUCACUGUUGUGCAAAAAUGCUUUGGCAUUUAAAAACAAAAAUCAAGAGACUAAUUUUAAGAAUAUUUUCUUUCUUAUAUUUCUAGAGAAAUGAUGAACACGCAUCAUUUUUUUCUUUUUAUACUAAUCAUGUCCGUUGUUUUCUUUGAUUUAUUCACUCCAAUGGUUAGAAAUAAAGAGAGGUGUAUAAGAUGUUAAAAAUAAGGGAACUUUAACGAAAAGCACCCGGUACUGUUCACUUUAACGAAAAACCACAUUUUUACACUAAAAAGUCAAUCCUUGUACUAUUCACUUUACCCUUUAUUUUGUCCUUAUCAUUAAAACUCAAAGUUUUCAAGCCCUUUUCAUUAGUUUUCCUUAAAAAUAAUUGUGAAAAUUUCUAGAUGUCUUGAGUGAAUAGUUGUUGGCAUUAAUGUGUUUAUUUAGUGAUAUGAUUGAGUAAACUUAGAGUAGGGUCCCAAUAGGUUUUGGAGAUCAAAUCUUUAUAGAGUUUGUAUUACUUUUAAAGCAAGAAUGCCCAUCAUGAUUAAUAUAAAUAAAGGUAAAACAUCAGGGGGUGACCAUACAAUUCUCAAACACCUUGGCCCUUCUUUCUCUCGGUCGUCCUUGUCUCUCACCCUUCUCAAAGUUAGUAUUACAACACGUUAUCAGGAUGAAAUGUCUCUCUUUGCGAGAAGGAGAGAUCCCCGAAAGAAACCUCACGAAAGCUUUUCACCAUCUUCAUCAACAUCCAAGAAAUUCUAAACCCUAUCUCUUUGGUUUCAAGUUAUUUUAGGCUAUGAAUACUAUGAUUAUUGUUCUACGCUAUAUGCAUUUUAUAUGUUGAUCUAGAUGUGUGGGUAUAUCAAAAAAAUAAAAUAAAAGAAAAGGAUUCCUAAACCCUAAAUUGCAGAAGUUGAUAAAAACAUGCCAAGUCCAAAUCUUAAAUGCCUAAAGCACAUAAAUCAUUCAUAAUACACCUAAGGAAGCUCCAAUAAUUACAUGUUUUUAGAGUUUCGUUAUUGUAAUUCGCAAUGGUUGUGCUAUUAGCACUUAAAUAUCAUGUAAUUACAUUUAUGUUCAAAUCUUAAGCAUAAUAUGAGCUUAAAAUUAAAUUAUUUGUGUGGAACAAAGGAUUUAAACACAAGUCUGCAAGAACAAUUAGUAUUUAACUAGGUUUUAACAUUUAUGUCAAAACUGACAUACGAGUUAAAAACAACUCAAUGAGUCUAGAUUCAAUUAUUACGUUUCCGUGACGAAAAAGACAUACGACUUUUUAAAGAAUUCAAUAUGACCAGAUACGAAUUAAUUGUGUUUCUAAUAUUUAGGUAAAAACCGACAAACUAUUUUAAGACAAAAUUUGCCAUAAUUGAAUAUAGAUAUGAUUAUAGUAGAAUCACAGGUAAACACCGCAUUGGAGCGCACAAUCUGAACUGUACAUCAAUAUAGGCUUCACAUGAAUGUACGACUAAGAUUAACUCUAUAACACGCUGACGACGCUCAUUCGUAACGUACUGCUCACACCGAAAUGGUAAAUUCAGAGAAUCCAAAACCCCAUUAAAUUUAUGCUUUUCCUUGUUGGCUCCACAUGUAAUAGAAUGUUUUAUUGGAUUGAUCUCUUUCCCAGAGUAGAUAGAAAAGUCUAUGGUGUUCAUGCAAAAAAGAACCACCUUUUGAUGAUUAACUCAAAACAAAAUCAUGUUUUGUUCUCAAAGACAAAGCAGAGGUGGUAAGGGUAAUUCGAUGGCGGUUGAACAACUGAAAAUUGGUCGUGAACAAGGAGUGUUUUCUCGGGUCGACGACGAAAUUUUGCAGAACAUUCUGGGGAGGCUACCGGGGGUUGAGUUCUCAUCAGCAGUCGGCGUCAACACAAAUUGGAACAAGAACUUUGGCCAAAUGCUCUCUCGACCCAAAUUUUCUUCUGCCCUUUCUCUUAACCCCGACCUGCACGUAUGUCUUUAAUUACUCUGUUUUACUAAAUGCUCUGUUUUCCUUAAAUACUCUGUUUUCUUAAAAUUCUUUGUUUCCUUAAAUGCUCUGUUUUUUUAAACCUUGGUUGUUCAUUUUUGAAGAAUGCGAUAGAUGAAGUUCUUGACGAGGUUUUCUCUAAAGCCAAUUUGAUUGGACUUCAUUGUCGCAUACAUUGGAACAAAUUUCAGCUUGGAAGAAACUCACCAACUUGUAAAUUUUAGUUUUUUUUUAGCCUUUUUUUUUUGGUAGUUUUUUUAUUUUUUUUAUUUUUUAUUAAUUGUUAUGGCAUCAACAAGCAGAUCACUGAGAAAAUAGGUUGUGGAGUUCCAAUCAUUACCAACAGAACUAUGGGAUUAAUCGGCACUGAUGUCGAAGCUCAUAAUCUGAACGAGGCAUUUUCUUAAUUUUAUGAAAAUUUUAAAGUUUUAAUAACAUUUGGGCACCAAUUAAGAUCAUGUUGUUGAACAUUAUAAUGUUUGUGUAGGUGAACUGGGCUCAGGGUAAUUAUGCACGGAACGCAGAAACGAUCCACCGAGGCAUUGUCGUCUCGGUUGGAUAUGUGCCCGGCUUGAGAGUUGAAGUAUUCCCCCAACCGAGAUGUGAACUUUGUUGCAAUGCUAAGAUCAAUGUUUCUUUUUAUUCAAUCCAAUUGUUAGAAAUAAAGUGAGGUGUAUAAGAUGUUAAAAAUAAUUGUGAAAAUUUCUAGAUGUCUUGAGUGAAGAAUUGUUGUCAUUAAUGUGUUUAUUUAGUAAUAUGAUUGUGUAAACUUAGAGUAGGGUCCCAAUAGGCUUUGGAGAUCAAAUCUUUAUAGAGUUUGUAUUACUUUUAAGGCAAGAAUGCCCAUCAUGAUUAGUGUAAAUAAAGGUAAAACAUCAGGGGGUGACCAUACAAUUCUCAAACACCUUGGCCCUUCUUUCUCUCGGUCGUCCUUGUCUCUCACCCUUCUCAAAGUUAGUAUUACAACACGUUAUCAACACGAAAUGUCUCUCUUUGCGAAAAGGAGAGAUCUCCGAAAGAAACCUUGCGAAAGCUUUUCACCAUCUUCAUCAACAUCCAAGAAAUACUAAACCCUAAUCUCUUUGGUUUCAAGUUAUUUUAUUCUAUGAAUACUAUGAUUAUUGUUCUACGCUAUAUGCAUUUUAUAUGUUGAUCUAUAUGUGUGGGUAUAUCAAAAAAGAAAAAAAGAAAAGGAUUCCAAAACAUUAAAUUGCAGAAGUUGAUAAAAACAUGCCAAUUCCAAAUCUUAAAUGCCUAAAGCACAUAAAUCAUUCAUAAUACACCUAAGUAAGCUCCAAUAAUCACAUGUUUUUAGAGUUUCUUUUUUGUAAUUCGAAAUGAUUAUGCUAUUAACACUUAAGUAUCAUGUAAUUACGUUUAUGUUCAAAUCUUAAGCAUAAUAUGAGCUUAAAAUUAAAUUAUUUGUGUGGAACAAAGGAUUUAAACACAAGCCUAUAAGAACAAUUACUAUUUAACUGGGUUUUAACAAUUUUGUCAAAACCAACAUAUGAGUUAAAAACAACUCAGUGAGUCUAGAUUCGAUUGUUAUGUUAUCAAACAUCCGUGACUAACAACACUUAAGUAUCAUGUAAUUACGUUUAUGUUCAAAUUUUAAGCAUAAUAUGAGCUUAAAAUUAAAUUAUUUGUGUGGAACAAUCUGAACCGUACAUCAAUCGGCACUGAUGUCGAAACUCAUAAUCUGAACGAGGCAUGUUCUUAAUUUUAUGAAAAUUUUAAAGUUUAGUUAAUAACAUUUGGGCACCAAUUAAGAUCAUGUUGUUGAACAUUGUAAUGUUUGUGUAGGUGAACUGGGCUCAGGGUAAUUCUACACGGAACGCAGAAACGAUCCACCGAGGCAUUGUCGUCUCGGUUGGAUAUGUGCCCGGCUUGAGAGUUGAAGUAUUCCCCCAACCGAGUCCAAGACAUGUGAGCUUUGUUGCAAUGCUAAGAUCAAUGUUUCUUUUUAUUCAAUCCAAUUGUUAGAAAUAAAGUGAGGUGUAUAAGAUGUUAAAAAUAAUUGUGAAAAUUUCUAGAUGUCUUGAGUGAAGAAUUGUUGUCAUUAAUGUGUUUAUUUAGUAAUAUGAUUGUGUAAACUUAGAGUAGGGUCCCAAUAGGCUUUGGAGAUCAAAUCUUUAUAGAGUUUGUAUUACUUUUAAGGCAAGAAUGCCCAUCAUGAUUAGUGUAAAUAAAGGUAAAACAUCAGGGGGCGACCAUACAAUUCUCAAACACCUUGGCCCUUCUUUCUCUCGGUCGUCCUUGUCUCUCAUCCUUCUCAAAGUUAGUAUUACAACACGUUAUCAACACGAAAUGUCUCUCUUUGCGAGAAGGAGAGAUCUCCGAAAGAAACCUUGUGAAAGCUUUUCACCUUCUUCAUCAACAUCCAAGAAAUACUAAACCCUAAUCUCUUUGGUUUCAAGUUAUUUUAUGCUAUGAAUACUAUGAUUAUUGUUCUACGCUAUAUGCAUUUUAUAUGUUGAUCCAUAUGUGUGGGUAUAUCAAAAAAGAAAAAAGAAAAGGAUUCCAAAACACUAAAUUGCAGAAGUUGCUAAAAACAUGCCAAUUCCAAAUCUUAAAUGCCUAAAGCACAUAAAUCAUUCAUAAUACACCUAAGUAAGCUCCAAUAAUCACAUGUUUUUAGAGUUUCUUUUUUGUAAUUCGAAAUGAUUGUGCUAUUAACACUUAAGUAUCAUGUAAUUACGUUUAUGUUCAAAUCUUAAGCAUAAUAUGAGCUUAAAAUUAAAUUAUUUGUGUGGAACAAAGGAUUUAAACACAAGCCUAUAAGAACAAUUACUAUUUAACUGGGUUUUAACAAUUUUGUCAAGACCAACAUAUGAGUUAAAAACAACUCGGUGAGUCUAGAUUCAAUUAUUACGUUAUCAAACAUCCGUGACUAACAACACUUAAGUAUCAUGUAAUUACGUUUAUGUUCAAAUUUUAAGCAUAAUAUGAGCUUAAAAUUAAAUUAUUUGUGUGGAACAAUCUGAACCGUACAUCAAUCGACACUGAUGUCGAAACUCAUAAUCUGAACGAGGCAUGUUCUUAAUUUUAUGAAAAUUUUAAAGUUUGGUUAAUAACAUUUGGGCACCAAUUAAGAUCAUGUUGUUGAACAUUGUAAUGUUUGUGUAGGUGAACUGGGCUCAGGGUAAUUCUGCACGGAACACAAAAACGAUCCACCGAGGCAUUGUCGUCUCGGUUGGAUAUGUGCCCGGCUUGAGAGUUGAAGUAUUCCCCCAACCGAGUCCAAGACAUGUGAGCUUUGUUGCAAUGCUAAGAUCAAUGUUUCUUUUUAUUCAAUCCAAUUGUUAGAAAUAAAGUGAGGUGUAUAAGAUGUUAAAAAUAAUUGUGAAAAUUUCUAGAUGUCUUGAGUGAAGAAUUGUUGUCAUUAAUGUGUUUAUUUAGUAAUAUGAUUGUGUAAACUUAGAGUAGGGUCCCAAUAGGCUUUGGAGAUCAAAUCUUUAUAGAGUUUGUAUUACUUUUAAGGCAAGAAUACUCAUCAUGAUUAGUGUAAAUAAAGGUAAAACAUCAGGGGGUAAAGUGGAAGAGGGAAGACUAGGGAGGCCACCACAAACCCUUAACCCUGACAUCGGCUCUUUGAUGAAUUUACACCCAAAUUCCUUCAAAUUCUAGGUGGAUAUGGAAGAGGGAAGACUAGGGAGUAGUUUCUAGGUAGUGGUUUGCUUUAAUUCGUCGGAAAAUGGUCAAAUUUGGCUGUGGCUUUCUUCGAGUCACGCGGGUCAUGGGAUGACUCGUUUUCCCCCUUCAUUUUCUCUUUUCCUCCUUUCCCUCCUUUCUUCUCUUUCUGAUUUGGUAGUUUCUUCCUCUCCCCUCUCCCAAUUCGUCCAUCUCCCUCCUGUGCUCUCUUCCUCCCCUCUCCUUUCUUCCUUCCUUUCCAAAAGCUCAUUGGUUCUUCCUCCCAUAAGAUGGGAGUUCCAUUUAAUUAACACUAAACUUAAAAUAACCAAUUUCGAAUGUUCGUAACUAUACCGAUAUAAACUGGACUUGUAAACGGCUUUCGCCUAUGUGUUCGUACCAACGAAUACUACACAAAUACGCUAAAGGAAUAAGUCUUACGUUUCUCUAGACGAUGGCCAAUGCAAGUCAAAGUCCUUACCUCUAGGGUAUUUUCGUAAAUUCAUGCUUUUAAAAUUAAUAAAAACGUACAAUUAGGGACGGGUUGUCACAAUUUCAAUCUUAAACAAACAAACAAGAAAAAAAACUUCAAAAACUCUAAUUUUAAAGUUUCAUUUGAAUAUAUAGCAUUAUUAAAUAAUAAAAUUGAAAAAAAAAAGAAACCUUUUUUCAACGUGUUGUCAUUGACACUCCAUGUAUCUCAUUAUGCAUUCCAAAUUUUAAUACUUAGAAAGAAAAGAAUUUACACAUAUAAAAACUACACAAUGAUAUUUUAAAGUGCUAAUAAAAGUAAAUUUUUUAAUAUAUAGAACUAUUACAUAUAAAUAUUAGAUGACAAAAAUUUGGAGGUCCUUUAAAAUUGAGGCAUGUGUGAUUGCACUUUUUGCUCGCUCCAAUGCCCCCUUUGAUUUACACACACACCCCAUCUAUGUUUGUGUUUGAAAUUUGUAACAGGGGAUAUGGGCACUUCAUUCUUGUUGAUGGUGUGGGAAUCCAACCCGACGACGUCUUCUUCUUCUACCAUUCAGAUGCUGCAACUGCAUUGAACACCAUUGAUUAUGCAUCUGAUAACCUUCAAACUUUUGUCCAUAAUGAUUCCGAAAUCCAGCCAGAGGUGUUCGGAGGGUUUAUCUUCUCCAGCAAGAAACGCGGCGCGUUGAUGUUCGAUAGACCUAAUGUUGAUUGUAAGCCGUUUGCUGACAACUUCCCAGGAGUUCCGGUAGCCAGAAUGUUUGGCAAUAAGGAGAUCGCGUGUGGUGAAGAAGAAGAUAAUGAACUCGAUCAUCCUCGUUCUGUCCAUGCUUGUAGCUCUAUGUACUUGGCCAUGAAUUAUGUUCCUCCCCAAGCUCCAUAUUACUUGAAGGAGUAGAUGUUUGGUUGGUUUUCUCCCAUUGAAAAAGAAUAAAGUUCGUUGUUUUUGUUGGGGUGUUGGGCAUAAGUUGGUGUGUUUGUGUUGUCAUAUGUUGUAAGUGUUAGUGUAAACACGAAAUUUUCUUGAAACAAACGAGACAAGAACACGUGUACAAAAUAAUAUUUUGUAUUAAUGAUAGGGGUUACAAUCUCUCUCAAAUUUGAUCCUCUGAUUCGAUCUCCGUAAGGUGUUGAUUUGUGGAUUGUGAUGCUGAUCCAAGGGCCGUCGAGGCUUGACCUCAGAUGAAUGGUUGGAAGUUUCUUCAAGAGGGCCUUUUAGGCUUGAUCUUGAAGGUUGAUUGAUGAACGGAUCUUCAAGGGCUUUUGGGCUUGAUCUGAAGAACUGUUGAUGAACGGAUCUUCAAGGGGCCUUUUGAGGCUUGAUCUUGAUGAACAUUUGAUGGAUGGAUCUUCAAGGGCUUUUGGGCUUGAUCUUGAAGAACUGUUGAUGAACGGAUCUUCAAGGGCCUUAGGGGCUUGAUCUUGAUGAACAGCUGAUGAAUGGAUCUUCAAGGGCUUUUGGGCUUUAUCUUGAAGAAUGGUUGGAUGUGUGGAUUUGUUGAUGUUGUUGAUCCAAAGGGCCAUUGAGGCUUGAUCUUAGAAUGAACGGAUGAUGAACGAUAAACGCCUUAUUAAAGGUCGUCGGGGCUUGAUCUUGAAUUGGUGGAAGUUCCUUCAAAUGGCUGUUGGGGCUUGAUCUUGAAGGUUGGGUUGACGAAGAAUGAAGAGAGCUUUCUUGAUCAUUCGGGAUUUGCUUGGGAGCUUUGGAGUUUCAAAGCUUCAAGGUUUUGGUGUGAGGUGAAUUGAUUAUGAAUUGGUUUUCCGAAUUCCCCCAAAAUGAAUGAAAUGGCUUAUAUUUAUAGAAUUUUCCAAGGCCUAAUUUUGAAUAUAAUAUGCAGAUGAAAUAAAUCGUUUCUGCCAAGUGUUGACAUGUGUCCUAUUUGAUGACUUUUUCGAUUUAUUUUGAUUUUUUGUUUAGUCACACGCUACGUGUAAAAUUUAUGUGAAACGUGAGCGUUGAAAUUGUAACUAUUGGUCAACAUUUAUUUCAUCGAAAUUUCGAUGUCUACAAAUGCCCUCACUUCAAGGCGCGUCGUAUACAUGUGCUUGUCACGUGUAGGAGAUGCGUUUUGAAGUCCCUUAGUGUAGAUGUCGAUCCAAGGGCCAUCGAGGCUUGAUCUUGAAUUGGGCUGGAGAUUUCUUUAAGGGCCGUUGAAGCUUGAUCUUGAAUUGGGCUGAAAGUUUAUUCAAGGGUCGUUGAUGCUUGAUCUUGAGGGUUGAAAUUGGACCACAAGGAGCUUCAUGUGGUAGAUGAUCUUUGGCUUUGGUAGUGGAUGAAUUGGCACGUAUUUGUUUUUGCGCUUGUUGACUUUCCACAGCUUUGAUCUUGAACUGGGUUGGAGAAUUUUCUGGAUUCCUCAAAUUGUUGACUUUCCUCAGCUUAUUCUUAAACUGGAUUUGAUUCAAGGGUGGUGGACGCUUGAUCUUGAAUCGGACUUGUGAUUUCCUCAAGGGCCAUCGAGGCUUGAUCUUGAAUUUGGCUGGAAGCUUCUUCAAGGGUUGUUGAGGCUUGAUUCUUGAAGGUUGACUCGAACACAUGGCAAGCAGGCAUGAGGUGAAGGUGAUGACUUGUUGCUUUGUUCAAUCUUUCUAAUUCACACCUGAGCAGUUUAGUCAACGGUAUGAUCUUCAAGAUUGAUGGGCUCUUUUUCCAGUUGGUGACUUGAUCUUUAAGGAUUUGAUUCAAGGGUGGUGAAUCGGCACGUGCAGCCCACAACGCCUAGCGAGUCGACCCAAGAAUUUGAGGGUCAAAAUGAGUCCUCCACCCAUAGUGAUUGCAACCUUGAUGAUAUGAGAUACUUUUGAUUUUGAAGCAGUAGCGGAUGAAUCGGCACGUGCUUUGUUGUGCUUGUCUCCACAUGCUUCAAUGUAUCAUUUUCCCUUGCCUUAUCUGUUCUCUAGGCAAAUGUGGCAUCUUCUCGAGUUCCUCAACUCAGACUCAUUCUGCUGAGUUGACUGUGCAGGCUGCAUUCUUCUCUGCUUGUUUCUUCUGCAUGUUGUCUCCACAUGCUGCAAGGUAUCAUUUUCACUUGCCUUAUCUAUUCUUCAAGCAAAUGUGGCAGCUUUUUUGGAAGUACAAUAGCAGUGGAAGAAGAGUACUUGAGAGCAAUACCAUGUAAGCAACCAGGUAAAGGUUCCAGGUAGUCGAUUCCUUACCUGAGUUUGAGUGGAGGUUCCGACAUAUUGUUUUCUUUAUCCUUGUCUUUGCAGGUAAGAACAAGGACAAAGGAAAUGACAAGGAGAACGCAUGAUAUGAGAUACUCUUGCUUUAUACCCUGAUGAUAUGAGAUACUUUUGUUUUGGUGUCAUUUGUUUGUAGAGGUACCCCAAGGAAUAAGGAACACUGAGUGACUCGAGAGGCUUCGUUGGGAAAGUAUUCUCGGAGAUGAAGAAAGGUUCUGUAUGUUUGCCUUGCUAUGAAGGGUGAAGGUUGACAUUUAUAUGGAUUAAUAACCGGUACUGUUCUUUCACUCUUGUCGGCAACCGUUGGAUGAUUUAACGGUAAACUUCACGUGCUUUCUACUUCACAAGAAAUCUUCGACAGAAUUUCUGCAAGACUGAGUGUGCAUGUGACAGGCGCUGACAUGUCUGGAAAAGCAGAUGCCUCUCCGAUUUCUGAUCUUGCCUCUUCGAGUUCUGAGCUCGCCUCUUCGACUUCUGAGCUUCUUCGAGUGCAGAGGUUACAUGUGACAGGUGCGGACAAAUCUGGAAAAGAAGAUUGGCCCGUGGUUCUGAGCAAGCCCAGCUUUUGAGAAAGCUUGCGCCUCUUCGAUUUUUGAAUUCGCCUCUUCGAUUUCUGAACUUGCCUCUUCGAUCUCUAAAAUCCCGUCGAGUGUUGAUUUUUAUAUAGGCACGCAGUACGUUUUAGCACACUUGAAUUUCUGCCUGUAGAAACUCCCUUCUUGCACUUCUACGAUCUUGACUUGUCCGACCUCUUCUUUCUUCAACACCUUUGAAAAUGUCUGACCCCUCCGACCGUCGUUUUGACUUGAACCUUGAUGAAGAGGCAGUCCCGCCUUCUUCAGACAACAUAUGACGCCCAUCCUUCAUAUCCCUUACUGGUCCUCUUACCGUUGGGGAUUCGGUGAUGAAGAAUGAUAUGACCGCUGCGGUGGUGGCCCGGAACCUUGUCAUUACCAAAGAUAACAUACUGUUUUCCAAAUGGUCUAAUGAGUUGGCUGUUAAGGAUUCUCUGGAUCUUAGUGUGCAGUGUGCAUGUUCUGUGUCUAAUAUGGCCCAACGUCUAUUUGCUCGAACCCGUCAAGUUGAAUCAUUGGCGGCUGAAGUGAUGAUUCUCAAACAGGAGAUUAGAGGGCUCAAGCAUGAGAAUAAACAGUUGCACAGGCUCGCACAUAACUAUGCUACAAACAUGAAGAUGAAGAUUGACCAGAUGCAGGAAUCUGAUGGUCAGAUUUUACUUGAUCAUCAGAGGUUUGUGGGUUUGUUCCAAUAGCAUUUGCCUUUGUCUUCUAGGGCUGUACCGCGUAAUGAAGCUCCAAAUGAUCAACCUUCGGUGCCUCCUCCUCCUGGGGUUUUGCCUAGUACUGAGACUCUAAAUAAUCACCCUUUAGUGCCUCCACCUUCUGGAGCUCCGCCGAGUACUGAGACACCACCUGAGCAAUGAAGACUCCCUCCCGUUUGUUUGCACAUUUUUUUUUGUAAUUUUUUUUUCAUGUAAACGUACGUUAUUGUAAUUUUUAGAGAAAUCAAUAAACGAGCUUUGUUUCACUCAGUGUACAUUUUUUUUUCACAUGGUGUCAAAAGCACCAAAGGACUCUAUGAUUACUUUUUUUUCACAUGGUGUCGUCCACCAUCAUUUUUUUUUUGCUUUCGGUGGUGCUCACACCCACCACCAUCAUGAACCCUUCAACUUUUAUUUUUAAUUUUUUUAUUAUAUAUUUUUUAUUUAUAUAUAUAUAUAUAUAUAAUUUUUUUUCUGUCUGCUUUCGAUGUCAGAUGCACCCUUUUUUUUUUCACGUGGUGCCAGUACCACUUUGCUCCACUAUCUCAUUUUUUUAUUAUAUAUAUUUUUUGUAUAAAUUUUGAUGAUGGGUGAGGAAUUUGCAAGGAGCGGAGCAAGGAGGCUGAGAAGAUUGUGCUUCGAGCUUCACGACCGGCUAGUCGUUUGAUGGCGGUCGUUGAAGUUCUUUGUUAUCAUGGUGGUCAUAGUGACGAGCUCGAGGGAGGCUAGGCGCUGCGAUGGAAGAUGGGCAGAGAUGCAUGAUGGCAGAGCUUUGUGGAAGAGAUGGAGCACGAUGUGGGUGCAAGGUCGUUUGACAGCGGUCUUUGAUGUUGUUGGCAGCUGCGAGGCAAGAGACGGAAGAGGUCUUUGGGUGUGUAUUAAUAAACUUUGGUUUUAUCAAUCUCAUUCAAAGGCAGCAGCCAUGGCGGAGGUGCAAAGGAAGAAGCUUUACCACUACCUUUACUGAGCACAGCCACUGAGCACAACCAUUGCACUGCCUGCCGAGCACAACCAUUACACACCCGUUGCACUGCCACUAAGCAUGGCCACUGAGCAUAGCUACUGACCAUAGGCAUAGAGCACAACCACUGCCCGUUGCACUGCCUGCCAUCGCGGAGGAAGGCGAAAGAGAGAGUAUGAAGGUCAUUGGGUGUGAGUUGGCAAACUUUGGUUUUGUCAAUCACAUUCAAAGGCAGCAGUCAUAGCAGAGAGCUGGAGCUUGCGCUGUUGUUGUGGAGACCGAAUCAAUUGUUACUAAGCAUGAGUAGAACCAGGCUGCUGUUGAUUUGAAGUGGUGGGCAUGGCUCGAGGUAGAGAGAGGAGGAGGAUGCAGAGCUGGUGGAAACUAUAUAGUGGGCUGACCUGGAGCGAAGCAUCCUCGCUGGGCAAAAGGAGUGGGAGAGCCUAGUGGUGAUGAAAGUCCUGCUCGUGACUAGCUGCUGUGACAAUGGCUGCUCUUUGCUCGCUGUUGUGGAGGAAGGUUGAGCUUCACAUGCUGCAAGGGACCAGAGACUGUACUUGGAAGGACCGUCUUGUAGCUACUGCUGUGCUUCACCGCCACCUCACUGCUUGCUGCCCGUUACCUCCUGAAAUUGGUGGUGUAGAGAGGGUGGCUACCAGUGCAGGUUCGAAAGGAAGGAUCGCAGCUGUCUUUGGAGGAAGAGCGGGGAAGAACGAGAUGACGGUUAAGCAACCUGAGAACGCUCGACCUGAGUUACAACCUCAUCGUCGGAGCAAUCUUUUCCUCUUCAAGGCCUUGUUCAUCACCACAGCAACUUCCAGGCUCAACAACAACAUCUUCAUACAACAAAGUAGAAGAAGAAGAGGACAAUGAGAAGCAUGGACGGAGAGCACUGAACAAUCCAAUCGUCAUGGAAGUCGAAGCUCAAGAAUCCAAUUCCCAAAACGAUGUCGUCGUCAGUUUCUCCUGCGAGAUCACAUCUACAUCGAAGCAAGAAGCUAUCUUCUUCGUUGAAUCCCACAACUGGAACCUUGAUGCUGCCGUUUCCACAUUUCAGGACAACAAUGCCGCCGUCCUCGCCGCUGCUGUCGAGCUCGGAGUCGAGAAUCACGCUGCUGGUGCUGACGUUGCUGAUGAUGUUGAGACCGAAUCAAAUGUUGUUGAGCAGGAGAAGCACACCAACCUUCGAACCCAAGACCCUCCACUUGAGCGGAGCAUGGAAGCCAGUUGUGGUGCAGCGACGAUGGUGUUCACAGAUCUUAGAUCUGAGAAUGAGCAAUCGAAGUUGGCGUUGGUGUCGAGGCCAAAUAUGGUGAGUACGAGGUUGGUGAGGAAGGACACGGGUCCAGUGGUUGCUAGAAUUAGGUUGCGCAGGUGCUAAAGAAAACGGAGGAAGCAGAGUGGCGUUGUCUUGUUCAGUGGGCUCCUCGAGGAAGUUGAGAUCCUCGUCCUCGCCGUCGGUUGGGUGCGAGCCUUUGCAGAGAACCGAGUUGACUCGCCAUUCUUUGAAUGCAAGAGAGAAAGUGCAGUUGCAGUUAAUAUAUAUAUAUAUAUAUAUACACACACACAUAUAUUGUGCAAACUGUAUUUUUUUUAAUUAUUAUUUUAAUUUUUAUUAUUAAUUUUUAUUUUUUAUUUUUUUAUAAAGAAUUAUUGUAUAAAAUUGACUCUCAAUAGUCAAACAUUUUAAUCAAACCUUAUUUUUUUAUUUUGAUGUGACUGAACUCGAAAUUGGAUGUUCGAGCUUCCUACGUACCCCUCCAAAGAAGAGAUCAAGUAUUAACAUAGUUCAAAUACUUUUUUUUUUUGGUGCCGUACGCAGUUUAUGCUCUUGCGGGCCAGGAGCGUCUUGAUGCCGUUUGCAGUUUCAACUCAUGCAGGUAGGGAACAUUGGUGUUGCCUUUUAUGCUCAUGCAAGCCAGGAGCUUAGUGCCAUGCAGUUUAGGCUCGUGCAGGCGAGGAGCCUCGUGUCCUAUAGUUUAGGCUCGUGCGGACAAUGAGCUUUGGUUCGUGCAGUUUAGGGUCGUGCGAACAAGGAGCAUUGGUGUCACCUUUUAUGCUCAUGCAAACAAGGAGCAUUAAUGUCGCCUUUUGUGCUCGUGCGGACCAGGAACGUUUUGGUGUUGCCUUUUAUGCUCGUGCAGACCAGGAGCUUUGGUGUCCUGCAGUUUAGGCUCUUGUGGACAAGGAGCAUUGGUGUUGCCUUUUAUGCUCGUGCAGACUAGGAGCUUUGUGCCAUGCAGUUUAGACUCAUGCGGGCGAUGAGAAUUGGUGAAUUUGUCAAGCAAUUUUGAAGAGGUGUUCCUCACAAUCUUCAUAGCAAUGAGCCUUAACCGAGUGAUUGAAGAAGUCUUCGAGCAAGAAGUCGCGCAUCGUGAUGGCAACAUACGAUCUUUGUGUCACAAUUUCAUCAUCUUCAACACUUUCAUGUAGCCUUAGAGGUUGACGAGAGCUGCUUUGCCCCAUUUCCAAUUGGUGAACUUGUGGAGGAAACGUAUGCUUCUUGUGCAGUUUCUUUGGAGUAACAUGCGUCCAUCCCUCAACUUUACUUUGCUUGACUGGCAUGGUUUUGGAGCAUGCCCCCAACGAUUGAGGUGAAGAUUUUGAGUCGACAGAGCCAUAAGUGAUGGUGGUAUAAUUUGACUUCACCACAUCGUCAAGAUCUAGCUCAAUGAUUCCUUUCUGAGCCAACUUCAUGAUGAGAUCUUUCAGUACGAAGCACUUUUCCGUUGGAUGACUUAUGAAAUGGUGGACUUUACAAUACCUUGGACUGUCAGUACGAUUCAUCUCUUCCGGCCGUCUGCACUCAGGUAAGUCAAUCACCUUUUUGUCAAGCAAGUUUUUUAACAUGGCAACCACAUCAGAGUCUGGGAAUGGAUAAGUCUUAUCCUCAAGCUCCUUCAAAGUACGUCUACGCAUCUCUUGAUCACGAAAAGCUUCGGCUUGAAUUGCCUUGCCUAGUGUAGAGAUUUUGACGGGAGUUAUGUUGACCGUCAUUGCUUCCUUGGUGGAUUUCCACGCAGCCUUUUCCACCUUUGUCCCAAGAACUUUGUCAUUCUUGUAGUCGGUGAUCGAUUCAUUUAUUUGAGUCAAUUGUUCUUCAAUUGAGGUAACGCCGAUGGUCAUGACUUGUACAACCAAUAGACGUGACUUUCCUUUAGACAUCCAGGAUGCUGACGAAGAACGUCGUUUGCUGCUUUGGGAUGUCAUCUUGUGUGCCUCAGCAGCAUGCUUCGGUGCCCCCAGCGAGGUCAGGUUAAUGACGGACUCACGCAUUUGAUGCUCCCCUUGCUCCUUUAGCGGCACCAACUUUGAAGUGGCAUGUUAAGGAGCGGUUGUGGUGCCAAUGGAUUGUCCAUUCGCGGCAGAAGUGCUCAGGAUCCUUCCCUUAGUGGUUGCGAGAACGGCUUGUCCCUUGCUUGAUGCCAUUGACUUUGAGGUGUGUUUUGGAUUCCUUAAACGGAGAAAGAGAUGAGAGGUAGAGAUUGUCCCACUGGGCGUGCCAAAUUUGUAAACACGAAAUUUUCCUGAAAUAAACUAGACAAGAACACGUGUACAAAAUAAUAUUUUGUAUUAAUGAUUUAGGGGUUACAAUCUCUCUCAAAUUUGAUCAUCUGAUUCGAUCUCCAUAAGGUGUUGAUUUGUGGAUUGUGAUACUGAUCCAAGGGCCGUCGAGGCUUGAUCUCGGAUGAAUGGUUGGAAGUUUCUUCAAGAGGGUAUUUUGGGCUUGAUCUUGAAGGUUGAUGGAUGAACGGAUCUUCAAGGGCUUUUGGGCUUGAUCUUGAAGAACUGUUGAUGAACGGAUAUUCAAGGGGCCUUUGAGGCUUGAUCUUGAUGAACAGUUGAUGGAUGGAUAUUCAAGGGCUUUUGGGCUUGAUCUUGAAGAACUGUUGAUGAACGGAUCUUCAAGGGCCUUUGGGGCUUGAUCUUGAUGAAUAGCUGAUGAAUGGAUCUUCAAGGGCUUUUAGGCUUUAUCUUGAAGAAUGGUUGGAUGUGUGGAUUUGUUGAUGUUAUUGAUCCAAAGGGCCGUUGGGGCUUGAUCUUAGGAUGAACGGAUGAUGAACGAUGAACGCCUUCUUCAAGGGUCGUCGGGGCUUGAUCUUGAAUUGGUAGAAGUUCCUUCAAAUGGCCGUUGGGGCUUAAUCUUAAAGGUUAGGUUGAUGAAGAACGAAGAGAACUUUCUUGAUCUUUCGGGAUUUGCUUGGGAGCUUUGGAGUUUCAAAGCUUCAAGGUUUUGGUGUGAGGUGAAUUGAUUAUGAAUUGGUUUUCCGAAUUCCCCCAAAAUGAAUAAAUGGCUUCUAUUUAUAGAAUUUUCCAAGGCCUAAUUUUGAAUAUAAUAUGCAGAUGAAAUAAAUCGUUUCUGCCAGUUGUUGACAUGUGUCCUAUUUGAUGACUUUUCCGAUUUAUUUUGAUUUUUCGUUUAGUCACACACUACGUGUAAAAUUUAUGUGACACGUGAGCGUUGAAAUUGUAACUAUUGGUCAACAUUUAUUUCACCGAAAUUUCAAUGUCUACAGUUAGAUCCCACAUCGUUCAGGGAAGUGGAUCCUCUAUGCCUUGUAUGUACAUGCCCAUCUCUUCCUAAUAUGAGGCCUUUUGGGAACUCACUGACUUUAGGUUCCAUCGGAACUCCGAAGUUAAGCGAGUUUGGGUGAGAGCGGUCCUAGGAUGGGUGACUCAUUAGGAAAUUCUGUUUGCGUGAGUUCUCUGGAUCCCAGGUUGGGAUGUGAUAAUUUGGUAUCAGAACCAAUCCAUGGGCGGCCGAAAGUGUGCCAACGAGGACGUCGGGCCCCUAAAGGAGGUGGAUUGUUAGAUCCCACAUCGCCUAGGGAAGUGGAUCAUAUAUGCCUUAUAUGUACAUGCUCACCUCUUCCAAACACAAGGUCUUUUGGGAACUCACUGGUUUCGGGUUCUAUCGGAACUCCGAAGUUAAGCGAGUUCGAGUGAGAGUGGUCCUAGGAUGGAUAACCCACUGAGAAGUUCUGCUCGCGUGAGUCCCCGAAACAAAACCGUGAGGACGUGGUCGGGACUCAAAGCGAACAAUAUUGUGCUAUGACGGACAAUAAUGUGAUGAAGCCCGGAUCGGUAGGUGACACUAAGUCUUUUGAUUAAGUACUAGGUCUAGGGCAAGCAUUUCACUAUGGCUUAUGUAGUCAAAUAAGAAGUGCUUGUAGAGUUGAUAAUUAGUAGGGUUAUGUUUAUGAUGUUUGUUACAAAUUUAAGAAAAAGUGGUACAAUUACUUGAUGUGUAUUUUUUUGCUUAAUUUUAUGGCUAACAGUUUGUAACACAUAGGCUUUUAUAAUUCGUCUUGUGUAAAUUAGCUUUGAAAUAUCCGACAAUUUCUGUAGGAAAAAAUUAUCAGCCUUAUUUGGCUUGUGAUAUUAGUUAUAUAUAGGAUGAAUUGAAGAAGAUCAACAGAUAUAAAUUAUCAAGAGGUGUGUGAGAAGUAAAAUGAGGAGUGUGGAUAGUACACUCCUGUAUAUAAAGUUGAUUUUGACCAACCCGUCUCAGAGUCAGAUUCUCUCUCUUACAUUAAUGUAAAAGAAUAUAAAUUCUUUUCGGAUCCUCUUUGUGAGAAUUCUGAAAAUUUUCAAAUUAUGUCUGUUUAUCCUACAUCGUGCAUCAUAAAUUAUUUUAAAUACUUUUAUUUAAAAUUAAACAUGAAUAUUUUCUGACGAAAACUGAUCGCACGAUAUUUAAAGAACAUACACAAUUUGAGAAUCUCCGAAUCCUUACACAGAAGAUUGUCAAUCAAUGUAAAAUAUCAACGGUAUUAAAAUAAUAAAAACAAAAUUAAUAAAAUAAAUAAAGUGAGAAAAUUACCGCUAUGUUCGAUUUUUCCAACCAAACAAAGGAUGUGUUCGAUUUUUCCAACCAAACAAAAUGGAAGAAAACAUGCAGACACCAAAGCUUCAGACUUUUACAACUACUUGAGACUUGAGACUCUGAAAGUCGGCAUCUUUACGAAACAAGCAGCUGUCCGAUGGACGGGGCAUCGUCGUCGGCGGCGGCGAUAAAAACCGACACAAAACGGCCCCAAACGGCGGCGGCAGGGUUGUUUUCGCCGAUAAACGACGACCUUCUCCACAACAUCCUCUCGCACCUACCCGCCUUAUCCUUCGCAUCAGCGGCGUGCGUUAGCAAAUCCUGGAACCAAAUCUGCAGCCGAAUCCUCACUCGCCCGAAGCUCGCCUCCGCCCUCUCUCUCCACCCCUCGCCUAAGGUUGGUUUAGAGAGUCUAGACCCCUGUUUGGUCUCCGAGAAAAUAACAAGCUCAAAUUUUGUCGCACAUUUUCUCAAUUUUUGUGUUGCAAUUGAUAGGUUGCAGUGAAGGAGGUUAUCGAGAAGGUUCUAGCUGAGCCUAUACGGCCUCAUUUUGUUGUAGCUAAUAUUGGAAGUGGGUUUGGAUUGUAUGACAUUUCCAAGCUGCUCUUAUAAACCCCUUAAUCCUAAUUAGUAUAUGAUUGGAUACAUUUGAAUUAAGAGAAGCAAAUUAUGGAUUUUUUUAUUUUGUUCUAUGUUUGAAAUUGCAGAUAUCGAAAAAAUUGGGGUCCAGUAUUCCAUUCAUCAUUUCUACUUCAAGUGGAAUAUUUGGAAGAGAUGCUCUUACCCAUGAAUUCAAAGAGGUUUCGUGGUUGUGUUUUUCGGGUUUGCCGGGUUUUUGUUCAUUAGUUUGCAGCAAGUUUAUGUCUUUACUGAUUUCAGAUGAAAUGUGAUUGUUUAGGUUAAGUGGGGAGAGGUUUGUGGUGAUGGACGUGAUGAAGAUUGCUCUAUACCAACAAAGGAUGCGAACUACGGCAUCCUUUUGACUGUUGGCUUUGUGCCAGGAUUGAAAGUUGAUGCCAUCCCGCUGUUACGAACAAUAAAGGUGCCAAAUUUUACAGUAUAACUACAAAUCUGAUUUCUUUAAGAAUUCCACAGCGGAAUUUCAAAUGAGGGAAACUUAGGGCACACAGUCUUUGGUUUUUAUUGUCGUUUUUGGGAAUUUGUAGAAUCUUUCAAGCUCUUUCUGCAGUUUGAAUAAUGGAUUUUCUUGAUACAUAAAUAGUUUCUAAUGAUAUCAGGAUCCUCGAGAAGUCUUGCUUGAUAAAUUCAUCAUGGAUAUUAAGGAUUACACAGCCUCUGUUUCAGAUUGCACGUCCCCGGUUGGAAUUAUGAUGUUUGGAGUGAGUGGCUGUCCUCAUACUUUAUUGCCUCUUUAUUUCACUCCUUCUUUCUUUCUUUUCAAUCAGAUGUAGCUUCCCUUUGCCGCAUUGCUAACAUGUAAAUGAUUAAUGGUACAGGAUGGGCUUCGUGACAUGAAACCGAUUGUUUGAUGCAUUGGGUGAGUAGUGAGUCCUGAGGACAUAAUAAAUAAAAACAAGAAUCAUUUAUUUACCGCUCGAAACAUUAGGGAGAUAAGCUGCUGCUUUCAGAUUAUGGGCUGGUUUGGUAUUGCUGUGCUUUGAAAAAAAAGCUGCUGUGAGAAUAAGCGGCUGUGUUGUGAGAAUAAGCGGCUGUGAAAUAAAUCAGCAGAGUGUUUGGUAAACUUUUUUGUAAAAGUGCUUUUGGAAAAAAAAAAAAAGCAGUCUAAUAGUGGGUCUUUUCAUUAAAGAAGCACUGUAGCUUCGUGUGCUUUGAAAAAAAGCCAGUUUUCCAAAGCUGCAAAUAGCAGCUUCAGCUUUUUCCUUUGAUUUCAGCUUAUUCUCACAGCAGUUUCCAAAAUAAGCCAUUUUUUUUUCAGUUUACCAAACACCUAAAACCCUCACAGCUUUUUUUCAUGGGUGCUUUUUUUUUAAGCACCUCACUCCCAAACUAGGUCUAUGUGUUGUGAUAAACUUUUAUGUUGCAUGCUCAUGCUGGGACUCAAUUUUUGUUGAUUAUAUCUCAAUGUCUCAAUUUGUUGCAGAUUAUGCUAUGCCUGCGGAAACUGUCAUUGUGGGUGAUGAGAGAUGUCGCAUUUUAUAUAGAAGUGAGAAUGAGUCUAGAAAUGUCUGUGGGAAUGCAAAAUACUUUACCGAUGCUGUUGCUCUUAUAUUUGCCAAGGAUAAAGACAAGCCACAUGGUAAGUAUUUGGUUUAUUCAUUUAUACAGCAUCGUUUUUCCCCCUUGUUUCCAGCAUAGGUUUCUGUUCAAAUAGCUACUUGCAUGCCUUCAGAAGUGUCAGAUACAAAGUAAAGAAAGAAAUAAAAGGCACAUAUCACUUCUCGAUAGGGCCUUCCAAUAUCAGAGCCACUUCAGAUGCAGUCUAUUUUGCAAUCUCCCUAGAAGAUUUGAAACACAUCAAGAUGUAUUCAUUUGUGAACUAGUCCUUUUCGUGUUUAAUGUUUUUUUUUCCUAGGUAAACAUGUUUAAUGCUUUCAUGCUUUAUAAAAUUUCUUUCAGUUUCAAACUUUCAAUUACAGUAUAUCUCCAAAUUUUGGAACCAUGUUUUAUCAAAAUUGAAUAACUUUUAAGGGUUCUCAUAUUUGAGAGAUGCAUGCUGAUCUUUAAUUUUCACAAGUGAAGAUUUUUCAUCUCUCUUUCAUGCAUAGCUUUUUCCAAAUUUUUUCUUAUUUUAUGAGUGCACUUUCAGAUAUAUCAUAUGCCUCAUUAUGCACUCGUAAGGUUUCAUACACAUUUGCUUCUGUUUUUUCCUUGUAACUUAUUUGCUUCCUUCUUGCUCUAACAACAUAUCUAUGGUGGCUUUCUUGUUCUGUAAAGUUAUCAUGUCAAACUACCCAAUGUGUUUUGUUAGGCACUUAUUCGGUUUUGUAUAAAUGAAAAGGUAUUGGAGACAUUCAAUUCCAAAUUGCAUUAUCAAAUGGAGUGUCCACAGUCGGUUCCCAGCACACAAGGCUGUUUCUGUCAAAGUGAAUAACUGUGAGCGUUCUACUUGGCUUACUGCUAGAAGAGAGGGACACCCAGAAAUUCUGGACGGUCAACAAAUUCUCGAUGAUAUCAACGAUGAGGUAAAACUUACAGUUAAAUUUUCCAUGUGGUGCAUUUCAAAAGUCUGCUGAAAGUGCCAGUUGACUUGAAGCGUUGUUUUACGUUAGUCUAGUGAAUUAGAUAUAUUACAAGUGAGUUCUGUUUAAGAAAUCUGAUUAUUUUAGAACUAUCAUGCUUCUUACAAGUGCUUGUGUUUGUUUUUCAAAAUAAUAUUUGACAGUUAGCAAAUCACGUAGAUUCUUCAGAUCUGUACAUUGGGGUUACGAAACAUAGAAAAAUCUCUAUUGGGUCAGAGAAGCCAAGGUGGAUCACGUCCUUGGAAUACCAUGGAGUUGUAGGGUAACACUCAGGACUACUUUUUUAAUUGGCUAGUAUUGUCUAAUUGUUGCUGCAUAUGUUCCUGUAAUGAAGAAAUAUGAAAUUCUUUAAAACAAGAACAUCCUUCUCUGCGUCCUACACUUCGAUUUAUGGUUCGUCUGCUCAUCCCUGUCAAACUCCUCGCUCCUUCUGCCACUUCACUGUUGUUACUGUUUUGUUUUUCCACUAUCAAAUUGUGGUGAGUACAGGAUCAUAGCUGGAAAACCAAUUUAAGAAUGUAAAGUAAAAGACCUUAAUUUGGAGGCGGUACUACAAUCUUAUUCUUCAUAUAUUAUAUAUCCCAUGUGCAUCUGCCUUUGCUGAGACCAAUCUGUGUUCUCGUGUGGUCUCGGGUCACUGGCAAUAACAUGUAUAAUGCCACAACUAUUUUCAGUAAUGACCAUCGUUUAAUGGGCUUCAGAAUUGUUCUUAUACACACACACACACAUGCUUUUUUCUUAUUAUGCUCCAUCUGAACCAUUCAGACAUGGAAUUCAUAAAAGCCUCUACGUCUAACCUAAACGUAGAAAUACUAUUGUGGGCAAUGACUAUAAAUUCCUGGUGGUGGUAAAGUGAUUGAUUUCUAGGAAACUAGUAAUAGAUCUCAAUGGAUGAAUUGAACUAAUUGAUCGGAAAUAUACUUCUUAAUAUCCUUUUAUAACUUUUUUUCAUCUUGGGAUGAAAAUGUAUUUCCUGCACAUUUCCGCAUGGAUAGUUGAUUGAAGUAUGUUUGAUGAUUUGAUAAAUCAUUUAUGAUUUUGAUUUAACUAUUAACAUGAUGCUAUUCUGCAGAGGAGAUGAUCAGUACCUUUAUGUCAGUGGCGUUGGCAUAAAAACUGGUGAUUACUUCAACUUCUAUCGUUCAGACCCCGAAACUGCAUUAGCUUCAUGUAACAACAUCUCUUCAAGCCUGAAAAAAUUGAAGGUCAAUGAAACUCAAAAACAUCGCUGUCACAUGAGCGAAGUAUUUGGGGGUUUUCUGUUCGCUUGUUGUGGCCGUGGUGAGCCAUUCUUUGGACGCGCCAAUGUUGAUGGCUCUCCCUUUGUGGAGAACUUCUCCAGGGUUCCGUUGGCAGGAAUAUUUUGCGGGGGAGAAAUUGCACGUGGCUCUUUGAGGUUGACCGGGGAAGCUCAGAAAGAUAGUGAUGCUCGUUGCACUCUGCAUGUCUACUGCACCAUUUAUCUUGUGCUGUCAUAUACUCCAGCACCAGCACCAGCACCAUUGGAGCAUUAGAUGUUGCCUGCUGCUCUUCCCUUGAAUCUCUUUUGUUUUAGUACAGUAACUGUUUAUACAUUUCGGUUUUACAGUCCGUGAUCGAUGAUCGGCCUGUAUGGCCGUAAUUUAAUUUGCAGUUGGGUGUUUUCUUUUUUGCAUAGCACGCUUUCAUGCGAUAUACAAAAGGAUUUAUAAACGGUUGAUGAUCCUGGCAUUUAUAUUAUGUGCGAGAUUAUUUUUCAAGAAAAUACAGAAAAGCAUGAAUGGGAAGGUGCGUUGAUCAUGUUUGGUGUAUUUCUGAUAAAAACAAGAUUUCUCUCAGUUAUGAUUAUGUAUACGUAUAUGUUGUACUAUGUAUGUGUGUAUGUGUGUAUGUAUACUAAUUUGAAACAAGGAAAGCUGCAAAAACAGAAUCGGUUAUAAACUUUUAAUCAAAAAUAUUUCUCAAACGACACUAAACAUCCAAUAAACCCGACACUAAACAUACAAUAGAAGGGCAUCAACUUGUGUGUGUACGACAACAACAAAAAACAAUAAAGCCUUAUCCCACUAAGUAGGGUGGGUUGUAUGAAUCUUAGAACGCCACUACGCUCAGUUUUGCACCAAGUCUUCCAUUAGCUCUAAAUACUCCAUAUUUUUUCUUAAAGUCUCUUUCCAAGUCUUUGUACGUCUUUCAUGUACGCCAUAGUACAGCUUCUAAUUCUACUUUGUUUUGUUUAUAACUGGUUCUAUUCUAUUUGUAUAUAUUUGCUUACUUUAAAAAAAAUGCGAUAAAGUUAAAAUGCAAUUGUGAUAUUGGCACGGCUCAAUCAAAUUAAAAGACCCAAUCCUUUGGGAGAUUUUAUUUGAUUGAGCCAUUCCAACAUCCCACAUUUUCCCAGCAAAACAAGAACACAAAAACCCCAAAGGCACGAGUCUUCACUUCCACCUCCAUGGAUCAUAUCACUCUCUCAAAUACUUCCUUCUUUAUUUGGUUUUCGCCGUGACCCAUAUCGAUCGCCUUGGUCUCCGCCGUGACACAUCCACCGCGAGGAAGUCGAUGAUGCAGAGCGAAAGAGAGGUGAUGGAUGUGGAGAAAGCCAUUGAAGUUGCAAAUGUGAUGAGGGAAAGAAUGGAAUUUAUAGAGAUGGGUUGCAAACAAAUAGAAGUAUAAAAAACUGUUGAGUGCACCUUUAGAUAUAUAUACUUUAUGUACAUGUAAAAUAAAAUCGUAAAUGGUGAGCCUCCCGAUCGAAGAGUCCUGUGUAGUAGCGUCACUUGCACACCCUCAAAACCGGCUCUGUUUAAAACUCUAAUGAACGAAUUCAAAUUAUAGUAUUAUCAACGAAAAACAGUGAGGUUGAACAGGCAAACCAUGAAAUUAAACAGCCAACAAAUAUUGUAUGAAAUCAUUGCCGUCCGAGUUAGAUGUGUUCUAGUGAAGGUCUCAUUUGUGGUUGGUGCUUUGAAAAGUUCUUAGAUUCUCAUAACUACGACUUUAAAAUGUAUACAUUAAAUAGGUUUAUAAAUGGAAGAUAAUUGAACUCUUCACCUAACCAAUCAUGUUUUUUAGGGGUGCAACUGCAAAUUGUAACGCUUGAAGAAUUUAGAGGGAAUGCUUUCAUUUGGUUUAUUUAAUCUUUUCGGCUAUCCUUCUCAAUUUGCAUGUUGCACCGAUGGUUCAAACUGUCUAUUGUCAUCCCUUCAAAAUCAUUAUUACAAUAAAUUAACUAUAUCCAAUAAAUAGGCGAAUCAUGUUUCUUACUUGAAUGCUAAAAUUUUGAUAACGUUAAUCAAAUGAUUUCUAGUUUGGUUGAUUUCUUCUUCAGAAUUGAUCUUUAAAUGUAACCUAAACUUUUCGUUCAUCAAGCAAACAUUGUAUGAUGUAGAAAAAACUAAGAAAUUAAAUGUCUGAAUGAAAAGAUUGCUAGCAUCCGCCAAAUCAAAUACAAGUCGAAAUCCACACAACUUAAAUAUAGGCUUAAAAAUCCAAGUUGGAAUUAAUUAUGUUUAGUAGACUUUUUAAGUGCAGAGGCCGUCUGAUGAUGCAUGGCAAUGGCGUGUUCAUUAUCUCACAAAAGACACAAAAACUACGUUUGCAUAUUCGCCAACCCAUUAAGCCAAAACAGUCAAUGACUUGACCUAAUUUCUUGUCCCAUUUUCUUCAUGAUUUAGUGCAUGUCUUUGAAGAAAAAAUGAAAUAUAUCUAUCUAUAAAUAACAACCCAACUGAAAAACGAAACUAGAUUUGACCUCAGGAUUACUUAGAGCCACACUCUAGAAGAAAGCGGUUGCAGCUUUAUUGUUUGUCCCGUAANNNNNNNNNNNNNNNNNNNNNNNNNNNNNNNNNNNNNNNNNNNNNNNNNNNNNNNNNNNNNNNNNNNNNNNNNNNNNNNNNNNNNNNNNNNNNNNNNNNNNNNNNNNNNNNNNNNNNNNNNNNNNNNNNNNNNNNNNNNNNNNNNNNNNNNNNNNNNNNNNNNNNNNNNNNNNNNNNNNNNNNNNNNNNNNNNNNNNNNNNNNNNNNNNNNNNNNNNNNNNNNNNNNNNNNNNNNNNNNNNNNNNNNNNNNNNNNNNNNNNNNNNNNNNNNNNNNNNNNNNNNNNNNNNNNNNNNNNNNNNNNNNNNNNNNNNNNNNNNNNNNNNNNNNNNNNNNNNNNNNNNNNNNNNNNNNNNNNNNNNNNNNNNNNNNNNNNNNNNNNNNNNNNNNNNNNNNNNNNNNNNNNNNNNNNNNNNNNNNNNNNNNNNNNNNNNNNNNNNNNNNNNNNNNNNNNNNNNNNNNNNNNNNNNNNNNNNNNNNNNNNNNNNNNNNNNNNNNNNNACACCACCAAACAUAGACAAGUCGACAAGAUAUGGUAGCUUCCAAAGAGCAGCAAGCAGCAGGAAAGUUCCUGGGUAAUGAAAAGUAUUACAUAUAUAACGAAGAAUAAAAUAGAAAAUGACAUAUUUUUGUACACACCGUUUAACAAAAUAAUCAAAUUUCCAUUUGUUUAAAUCUACAAUUUACGGAUGACCAAACAAAAUUCAAAAGGUUUUAGAUUCUCCUGUAUCAAAAUUUCCAUUGGUUUAAAUCUACAAUUUUUUACCUUUCAUACUCUUCAUAAUUUUUGACCGUCGAAUCGAAUAAGUGUUGGAAAUUUGAGUAGUGUGAGUAGAAAUUUUUUUGUCCUACAUUGGUCAUUCCAAAAGAUUUUAUCACUUUAUAAGGUUUUAUCCCUUAUAGAAAUUAUUGGAGUAAUAGGUGAAGACUAAAUUCGGCUCACCCUUGGGGUUGGGCUUUGAGGUGUACUAAUUAAUUGGUAAUUAAUAUAUAUUUAAUUGUCAAAGAUGGGCCUUGGGCAUUGGGGCUCUAAUAAUUAAAUUAAUUAUUUAUUUUUGGAAUUAAUUAAUUAUUUUUAAUUUCGAAUUUAAAUUAAUUAAUUAUUUUUCAUUUUUUCAGAUGAAGUCUGAAGUGUGAAAAACACAGAAACAAAAACACCAUUUUCAGUAGAUGUCUCCCAACAGAUGCAUCAUUUCCUUAUACUUGUUGCGAACAUGUAUAAUCACAUUAUAUAUACAUCUAUCUGCAUAACAUUUAUAACACAGAAAAAAUCAUAAAUCUUCUCAUGCAAUCAUAAACAUCCUUGUUGAGAGAACCACAUGAAUAUUCGUCAGAAGUCAAUUUCCAGUUCUGAAUUUCUGACUUAGAUCUUUGAAUCCUAGUGAAGCAGACGUCCGUAGAACUACAAGCACUGAGUAGGGGCGAAAUUUAUGUUUCAAAGACAUUGCGGUACAUAAGCCUCGAUAUUUUUUACUAUGCUUAAUUAAUAUUUCAUCUUGUUGAGUCUUUGGAAUAUAUUAUUCGUAUUUAUUAUUAGCAUAUUUAUUUUAUUGCGGAUUGUUACAUAUAUCAAACAAUAAGUUGAAGAAAAUCAAAGGAUUUAAAAAAAACUUUUAACGAAAAGCUCCCGGUACUGUUCACUUUAACGAAAAACCGCAUAUUUACACUAAAAGUCAAUUUAUUACUAUUCACUUUACCCUUUAUUUAGUCCUUGUCAUUAAAACUCAAAGUUUUCAAACAAUUUUCAUUAGUUUUCCUUAUAAAUUAAUAGAAGAUACGUGAAAAAGUAAAAAAAAUAUGUGAAAACACUGCCCAAUCAAAUAUAAAUACGAUAACGCAUGAAGUUUCUCCGCCAUCAGCUUGCACGUUCCACUCCUGCAGAAGAAUAUGAUUGAAAAUUCAAACCCAUGCUCCAUCAUUUCUGCAUCUUCCAUAUCAUACCCUACAUAGAAAAACAAAAACAAGAACAUUAAAAAAU
rnacentral:lncRNA from 1 species